CCUACGGGUGGCUGCAGUGAGGAAUAUUGGUCAAUGGACGGAAGUCUGAACCAGCCAAGUAGCGUGAAGGAUGACUGCCCUAUGGGUUGUAAACUUCUUUUAUAAAGGAGUAAAACGAGCUACGUGUACCUUUUUGCAUGUACUUUAUGAAUAAGGAUCGGCUAACUCCGUGCCAGCAGCCGCGGUAAUACGGAGGAUCCGAGCGUUAUCCGGAUUUAUUGGGUUUAAAGGGAGCGUAGAUGGGUUGUUAAGUCAGUUGUGAAAGUUUGGGGCUCAACCGUAAAAUUGCAAUUGAUACUGGUAGUCUUGAGUACAGUUGAGGUAGGCGGAAUUCGUGGUGUAGCGGUGAAAUGCUUAGAUAUCACGCAGAACCCCGAUUGCGAAGGCAGCUUACCAAACUGUGACUGACAUUGAGGCACGAAAGCGUGGGUAGCAAACAGGAUUAGAUACCCGAGUAGUC
rnacentral:rRNA from 1 species